rnacentral:rRNA from 1 species
CUGGCUCAGAUUGAACGCUGGCGGCGUGCUUAACACAUGCAAGUCGAACGCGAAAGGGACUUCGGUCCUGAGUAAAGUGGCGCACGGGUGAGUAACGCGUGGAUAAUCUGCCCUUAUGAUCGGGAUAACAGUUGGAAACGGCUGCUAAUACCGGAUACGCUCAAAAUGAACUUUUUGAGGAAAGAUGGCCUCUGCUUGCAUGCUAUCGCGUAAGGAUGAGUCCGCGUCCAUUAGCUUGUUGGCGGGUAACGGCCCACCAAGGCAACGAUGGGUAGCCGAUUUGAGAGGAUGAUCGGCCACACUGGAACUGAAACACGGUCCAGACUCCUACGGGAGGCAGCAGUGGGGAAUAUUGCGCAAUGGGCGAAAGCCUGACGCAGCGACGCCGCGUGAGGAUAGAAGGUUUUCGGAUCGUAAACCUCUGUCAGAAGGGAAGAAACUACAUUGUGCUAAUCAGCAGUGUACUGACGGUACCUUACAAAGGAAGCACCGGCUAACUCCGUGCCAGCCGCCGC